rnacentral:rRNA from 1 species
GAUGAACGCUGGCGGCGUGCCUAAUACAUGCAAGUCGAGCGAACGGACGAGAAGCUUGCUUCUCUGAUGUUGGCGGCGGACGGGUGAGUAACACGUGGAUAACCUACCUAUAAGACUGGGAUAACUUCGGGAAACCGGAGCUAAUACCGGAUAAUAUUUUGAACCGCAUGGUUCAAAAGUGAAAGACGGUCUUGCUGUUACUUAUAGAUGGAUCCGCGCUGCAUUAGCUAGUUGGUAAGGUAACGGCUUACCAAGGCAACGAUGCAUAGCCGACCUGAGAGGGUGAUCAGCCACACUGGAACUGAGACACGGUCCAGACUCCUACGGGAGGCAGCAGUAGGGAAUCUUCCGCAAUGGGCGAAAGCCUGACGGAGCAACGCCGCGUGAGUGAUGAAGGUCUUCGGAUCGUAAAACUCUGUUAUUAGGGAAGAACAUAUGUGUAAGUAACUGUGCACAUCUUGACGGUACCUAAUCAGAAAGCCACGGCUAACUACGUG